UCAACCAACCAUUCAUGAAAAUGUGUUGACGUAAAUCGGCAAUUGGAAUCACAUUUCUAUUGGUACAGUCUGUACAUGGACAUGGUAAAUAUCCUUCCUUAUAUAAACCAUGACAUUUUCGUAAACCAUAUUGAACAAACGCCGUGAGACCAUCUCUGAAUUCUUGGCUACAGAGGCUCAAACUUAACCAAGUCUUAUCAGGUACGCGGAUUUUUGACAUUCAGCUGAAAUACAUACAAUUAUAAUUGAUUAAUAACCAAUUAUUGAAAAACUAACUAACAAUCACACUUAUACAAAAUCUGCUGAUUGUUACUUUUUUUUAAUUAUUAAUUAAUUAAAUAAUUAUUUAAAUUUAAUUAAAUAAUUAUUUAUUUAAUUAUUAAUUAAAUAAAUGAUUUUAAUUUUUAAAUAAUUGUUUUCAACAUUGGAUUUUAAAUCAAGUUCUUAAUAUACAAACUGAUUUAUGGAUUUUCCAAUAUUUUCUUAAUUAAUUAUUAAUUAUUAGUUAAUUAAAUAAAUAAAUAAUUAAUAAUUAAUAAUUGAUUAAUUAACAAUUAUUGAAAAACUAACUAACAAUCACACUUACAAAAUCUGAUUGUUACUUUUUUUUAAUUAUUAAUUAAUUAAAUAAUUAUUUAAAUUUAAUUAAAUAAUUAUUUAUUUAAUUAUUAAUUAAAUAAAUGAUUUUAAUUUUUAAAUAAUUGUUUUCAACAUUGGAUUUUAAAUCAAGUUCUUAAUAUAAAAACUGAUUUAUGGAUUUUCCAAUAUUUUCUUAAUUAAUUAUUAAUUAUUAGUUAAUUAAAUAAAUAAUUAAUUAAUAAUUAAUAAUUGAUUAAUUAACAAUUAUUGAAAAACUAACUAACAAUCACACUUACAAAAUCUGAUUGUUACUUUUUUUUAAUUAUUAAUUAAUUAAAUAAUUAUUUAAAUUUAAUUAAAUAAUUAUUUAUUUAAUUAUUAAUUAAAUAAAUGAUUUUAAUUUUUAAAUAAUUGUUUUCAACAUUGGAUUUUAAAUCAAGUUCUUAAUAUAAAAACUGAUUUAUGGAUUUUCAAUAUUUUUUUAAUUAAUUAUUAAUUAUUAGUUAAUUAAAUAAAUAAUUAAUUAAUAAUUAAUAAUUGAUUAAUCAACAAUUAUUGAAAAACUAACUAACAAUCACACUUACAAAAUCUGAUUGUUACUUUUUUUUAAUUAUUACUUAAUUAAUUAUUUAAAUUUAAUUAAAUAAUUAUUUAUUUAAUUAUUAAUUAAAUAAAAACAUUACCAUCCAAACCUAACCCUAACAUGGCAUUUCUAAACAUUACCAUCCUAACCCUAACCCUAACAUGGUAUUUCUAAACAUUACAAUCACAUAGAAAAUUACAAUCACAUUAUUCAAUAUGGCAUUUCUAAACAUGGCAUUUCUAAAUAUGGCAUUUCUAAACAUGGCAUUUCUAAACAUGCAUUUCAUUUCUAAACAUGGCAUUCUAAUCUACAAUCCUAACCUUAACCCUAAUUUCUAAACAUGCAUUUCAUUUUUUAAUGUCUAACAUUAUCAAUUGAACUAAUGUCCGCAAAUUUAAUGCCAAAAAUUUAAAAUUCAUAAAUUAUUACAUUGAUGAACCGCAAAUGAUUUUGAAUUAUCCGCAACAAAAAUUCUUCAAAUUCCAGCAACCCUAAAAAAAAAUUUCCAACAAAAAUUUACUUUUAAUUUAAAUUCCAGCAUCCAUAUUAACCAUUAAAUUAAAAUUCCAGUAACAAAAUUAAAAAAAAAUUCCAGCAACAAAAAACAAAUAAAAAUUCCAGCAACCAUUAUCUUCAAAUUAUAAUUCCAACAACCAUACAUUAACCCUUAAAUUCAUAUUCCAGCAAACAAAAAAUAAUCACAAAUCAUUAACCCCCAAAUCACAAAUCAAAAGACAAAUCACAAUGCAUGAAAAGUUUGAUUUAAAAUUGGAAAGUAACCCCAUAUAAAAAACCACCAAAUCAUAAACCACCCAAUCAAAAACAACAAAAAAAUAAGAGAACAAGAUGAAAAUAAUGUAAACCAUACCUUGAAGAUAAUUUCGACAAUGACCGGAGAGAA
rnacentral:lncRNA from 1 species